ACUUUUAGAUUCAAAAACGUUUGAUAGUAAUGUAGGAAGAGAAGAGGAAAUAGAAACCAUGGAAAAUAUAAUUAAAAGAUGCUCAAAAAAUAUGACAGGUGAAGGUAUAUUUUUGACUGGUCCUAGUGGUCAAGGUAAAACAUAUAGCAUCUUUUAUAUUCUUAAAGAAAUAGAAAAGGAGAAAGCCCAAAAAAAAACAGAAUAUUAUAAAAAUAUCGAUCCCUCUUAUUUUUAUGUCUCCUGUUCUAAUAGUCAAAAACCAUACGACAUCUUUGUUGAUAUAUUACAACAAAUAAUAAAUAAAGAUAAAAAAAGUAUUUUAAAUAAUAUAAAACAAAAAUAUAACCUAAACGGUUUAGAGGAAGUAAAAAAAUUGUUUAUUAACUAUACUCAUAAUUUAAAAAACAUAAAAAUUGUUAUUGUUGAUGAAUUAGACUUUAUAGCUAUCAAAAAUGUGAGAGUAGAACUAAAAUCAAAAAGUAAUAUUAAAAAUUAUAAUGAAGAUGUGGUUAAAACAUUGUUCGAAUGUACACAAUAUUCAAAAAAUAAAAUAAUUCUAGUUGGAAUAGCUAAUAGUUUUGAUAUGUUAAAAGAUUAUACUCAUAUCAAAAUUAAUCAAAUCAUUUACAAACCUUAUAACGAAAAACAAUUCAUGAAUAUUAUCAAAAAUAAAUUAAAUUCGUUCGAAGAUGAGUUUGUUAAUAAAUUAUUUAAAGGGGUCGCAUUAAAUAUACAUGUAAGACAAAUUUCAAACCAAAAUGGUGACAUCAGGUCUUGUUUCGAUUCAAUUCUCAGAGUCUUUUCAGAAAAAAAAACAACCCUUGACGAAAGGAUCAAAAAUCUUAUUAAACUAAAGGAAGAAAUAUAUAUGAAUAAAAUUUUUAACAUUUUUGAAAAAAAAAAUUUGCUGCUUUUGUUGAAUGAUGAUGUUGGUACAAGUGCCAGCACUGGUGUAAGUGGUAGCGAAAAAAAUAGUAAUGCUUGUGCACUAAAUAACAAUGAAAAAAACAAAAAAAGAACUAGAACAAAUAAUAAAGACGGUGGUAGUGGCAACCAAACAGAUGAGUCAUGUGUAUCCGUAACACACGAUAAUGUACCAAACAAAAAAAUCAAAACAUAUAAAAAUAAUAAUUCCAAUCGAUCAGUUAGUAAUAACAGUUAUGAACAAUCAACAAAUGACAGUUACUAUGAUAGCGACCUCAACGUGACACCGUCACCUAUUAAUAAAAAUUCAAAUAUAGACAAUAAAUUUUAUGAACAUUUAAAAAAUGUUAAAUUUACUGACAUAAAAAAUGAAUAUUCUAUAGGUUAUGAUACGCUUAAAAAAGAAGCUAUAAAAAUACAAAAUGAUUAUGAAACAUUAAGCGAAAUAAUUAUAAGAAAAAAUUUUAACUCGAAUGAUGGUGAUUCUGAAUAUGAUCUUAUAGCUGAUUAUACUUUUAAUGAAUCCUAUGAAAGUCCUUUCAAAGUACUUUAUGAAAAUUAUAAACAUGAGGACGAAGAACUGAAAGAGAGUACUGGUCAAAGUAACAACUUGAGUAAAACAAAAAAGAAUGACUACUAUCGUGAUCAAAAAAAAAAAAAGCAACAACAACAACAUAAACAUAAACACAAACAGCCAACACAACCCUUUUUUAAAAACAAACAAGAUGUGUUAAAAAAUAUAAACACAGAAAAAUUAUCAUCGGUUGGUACAAUAUUAGAAUGUCAAUUAACAAAUAUACAAAAUAAAUAUCAAGAUAUAUGUUCUAAUAGUACUAAUAAUACAGUUAUGAUUUCAGACUUAAAAAAAAUAACUGAAAAAAUACCACUAGAAGAACAUAAAGAUAUAUUAUUAAAAAUUAAAAGCUUGCCUUUAAUUCAAAAAAUAUGUUUAUAUGCUUCAUGUAAUUUAGUAAAUGACUCACAAUUAAAUCAUGAUGAAAAUGAUAAUGAGGAAAAUGAACAACAUGCAAAGAAACCAAAUCAAAUAAUUGAAAUAUGCUACUCUGAUAUACAAAACGGAUUCAGAAGCUUAUGUAGUUCCUUGUCAGAAACCUGUUACAUAAAAGAUAUGAUAGAGGGAAAUACUAUUGAUCAAGCUAUUGAGCAUUUUGAAGAAUUAGGGAUAUUAACAAAUUGUAAAAAAAAUCAAAAGUAUGGUAAAGAAAGAAAAACUGUUGUAAAAGUACCAAAAGGAUUGACACCUAGAUUUGCUAACAUGAAAACAAAUAAAAAUUUUACUUCUCAAAACAAAUUAAAUUCGAUUUAUUAUUUUAACUUACCAGUAUGUGUUAUUAAACAAACAUUGAAAGAAAUUUCUUCAAUUCUGUCAAGUUUCGACGGCAACACACAAUUCUGAAAUGCCAACGCGUAUACAUACAAAUUUUCGACUAAUAAAACAUGAAGAAAACAAAAAAUAAAAUAAAAU
ensembl:lncRNA